rnacentral:rRNA from 1 species
UUAAAUUGAAGAGUUUGAUCAUGGCUCAGAUUGAACGCUGGCGGCAGGCCUAACACAUGCAAGUCGAACGGUAACAGGAAGCAGCUUGCUGCUUCGCUGACGAGUGGCGGACGGGUGAGUAAUGUCUGGGAAACUGCCUGAUGGAGGGGGAUAACUACUGGAAACGGUGGCUAAUACCGCAUAACGUCGCAAGACCAAAGAGGGGGACCUUCGGGCCUCUUGCCAUCAGAUGUGCCCAGAUGGGAUUAGCUAGUUGGUGAGGUAACGGCUCACCAAGGCGACGAUCCCUAGCUGGUCUGAGAGGAUGACCAGCCACACUGGAACUGAGACACGGUCCAGACUCCUACGGGAGGCAGCAGUGGGGAAUAUUGCACAAUGGGCGCAAGCCUGAUGCAGCCAUGCCGCGUGUAUGAAGAAGGCCUUCGGGUUGUAAAGUACUUUCAGCGGGGAGGAAGGUGUUGUGGUUAAUAACCGCAGCAAUUGACGUUACCCGCAGAAGAAGCACCGGCUAACUCCGUGCCAGCAGCCGCGGUAAUACGGAGGGUGCAAGCGUUAAUCGGAAUUACUGGGCGUAAAGCGCACGCAGGCGGUCUGUCAAGUCGGAUGUGAAAUCCCCGGGCUCAACCUGGGAACUGCAUUCGAAACUGGCAGGCUUGAGUCUUGUAGAGGGGGGUAGAAUUCCAGGUGUAGCGGUGAAAUGCGUAGAGAUCUGGAGGAAUACCGGUGGCGAAGGCGGCCCCCUGGACAAAGACUGACGCUCAGGUGCGAAAGCGUGGGGAGCAAACAGGAUUAGAUACCCUGGUAGUCCACGCCGUAAACGAUGUCUACUUGGAGGUUGUGCCCUUGAGGCGUGGCUUCCGGAGCUAACGCGUUAAGUAGACCGCCUGGGGAGUACGGCCGCAAGGUUAAAACUCAAAUGAAUUGACGGGGGCCCGCACAAGCGGUGGAGCAUGUGGUUUAAUUCGAUGCAACGCGAAGAACCUUACCUGGUCUUGACAUCCACAGAAGAAUCCAGAGAUGGAUUGGUGCCUUCGGGAACUGUGAGACAGGUGCUGCAUGGCUGUCGUCAGCUCGUGUUGUGAAAUGUUGGGUUAAGUCCCGCAACGAGCGCAACCCUUAUCCUUUGUUGCCAGCGAUUAGGUCGGGAACUCAAAGGAGACUGCCAGUGAUAAACUGGAGGAAGGUGGGGAUGACGUCAAGUCAUCAUGGCCCUUACGACCAGGGCUACACACGUGCUACAAUGGCGCAUACAAAGAGAAGCGACCUCGCGAGAGCAAGCGGACCUCAUAAAGUGCGUCGUAGUCCGGAUUGGAGUCUGCAACUCGACUCCAUGAAGUCGGAAUCGCUAGUAAUCGUGGAUCAGAAUGCCACGGUGAAUACGUUCCCGGGCCUUGUACACACCGCCCGUCACACCAUGGGAGUGGGUUGCAAAAGAAGUAGGUAGCUUAACCUUCGGGAGGGCGCUUACCACUUUGUGAUUCAUGACUGGGGUGAAGUCGUAACAAGGUAACCGUAGGGGAACCUGCGGUUGGAUCACCUCCUUACCUUAAAGAA